rnacentral:lncRNA from 1 species
GUAAAUUAUUCACUUAAAAACUAGAACUCCAUCUAGUCUAUGAAGUCUAAAACAAAUAUUCCUUAAGGUCAAAUUUCCUAGGACUCUCACAUUCCCAUUAAAGGUAGACAGAGAUCCCAUUUAACCGAUGACAAAACAGAAGCUCAGAGUCUUAGCUAAGGCCACAUCAUUAUGGACAAAGUCACAAGGCUCAGAUUUCUUGAAUUUUCUUAUAGAUGUCAAUUCAAUUGUAAUUAAUAAUGUAUUAAGUACCUGCUCUGUGCCAGACCCUGGAUUAGGGGAUGGGGCUGCUGGGAUUACAGGCGUGAGUCACGGCGCUCGGCAUAAAUUUCUGACAUAGUCCCUGCCUUUAAGGAGUUCAAUGCAAGAGACCCUGUCUCCCUGAUUAUUUAAUAUCUUUCUUUGGCUGACUUCGAACUCCAGUGAAGUAAUGAAAGGAAUAGUAAUGAUUGUUGAUUUUUACAUUGAAGAAAUCUUGUGACAGAAAGAAUUUCACCAGGAGGAGAAUCAAGGUCCUCACACUGACCACGCACUAUUUAAU